UGAUAAAACUUAAACAAUUAUAGAAUUUUAGGAUUAUUAUGAAAAAUGUAUUAUUUUCAAUUUUUAUAUGAAAUAUGUAUUUUCAAAAACACGUUUUACUCUAGAACUGUAAGAAAAUCAAAGCCAUAAAUCUAAACAAGUUUGAGGUUGAUAUCUCAAAAAUUGAGCUUUAAGUAAUACUUUCUUUGGGCGCAAUACCUAACUUAUCCACUGGAUGAAAUUCAUCUCCCAUUCAUUUCCAAUGCAGCCAUUUUUGAUUGUGAACAGUACAAGUGUGACUAUUUUUUCAGGACCUUUACCUUUACCUUUCAGGUCAAAACCUUUACCAAGUUUCAUACCUUUCAGAUGAAUUAAAAAAAAUUCAAAAAGGCAAUCUAGGCAGUUAAUGCAUAGACGGCUGGAUGGACGGAUGGACGGAAAAUCCUGUCGAAAAUACAUUGAUACUCUUCCAGUCCUCUGUCCUACUUCACAUUUAAACCCCGAGGAGAGAGACGCUACUGCUUAUUGUCCCAAUAGAGACGCUGCUGCUUAUUGUCUCUGCGUCCCCUGCUGUGGCUCAAUGUGUGGCAUUCUCAACAAAUCAGAGCGUUGUCAUCCUUCACUUCCUGUGCAUGCAUGAACACACAAAUGCAUGGCAAACACAUUUCAUGUCAGGAGCCCUGCUGAGAAACACAUCUUAAACUAGCCAAAGCUGGUUUGUUGGUCUGUUUGUUGGCUGGUUUUAGGGGCGUGCUUAUUUAAUGUGUACUUGUAGUGUACUGCAAACCUUAAAAACUAUUAAUAAAAAAACUGUACUGUACUGCA